UCCCUGGUGGCUCGGAGGGUAAAGCAUCUGCCUGCAAUGCAGGAGAUCCGGGUUCGAUCUCUGGGUCAGGAAG
rfam:TPA: Bos taurus chromosome 13, whole genome shotgun sequence.